rnacentral:lncRNA from 1 species
AUGGUUUUAAAUCGCAGGCAGCCUCACUUAACCCACCGCACAGUCAUUCAUCAGCAAGCUCUACCGUGGAUCGAUGUUGCUCUAACCCCAGAGGUCGACCUGUCGCACAUACAGCGAGACAUGAUCAGUAGCAGCAGCGUCUAUGGUAGGUUCUUUUUUUCCCAAUCUUUCAUUUGAUGAACUGUUGUUGUUAUUUAUUAAAUUGUGGUUGUUUUGACCGUGCUUGUUUUCAAGCAUGCGUUUUGUGUCAGUUUCUUUAAAACAAUGUCAGGAAAUAUUACUGAUGUACGAUGAGAUAUGUUGCAUGCGUGUACAUUGUUUUGUGAGAGUUUAGCAAUGUAGGCCUACAUGUUGAUUUUUCCACGCUAUUAGGUCUAUCAUCUUCAGGCUUGUGUCCAAGUUAAAACGAUUCAAAUAUCAAAAUGAUUUUGCAUCAUACUCCAUCUUGGCCGAAUUGUUGCCACUCUCGGAAAACAAAUGAUUACUAUAGUAUACCUAAUGGAAUAUGCCUCGCAUCAGAUGGUCGCGGUGAAUGCAAACGGACCCUUGACGUCUGUCUUCUGUGCUGGUUUUGAAUGCACAUCACUAUGACGCCGAUAUGUUUUCUGAAUUGCUGCACCCAGAACCCCUUUCACACGCUGUGCUUGGGCAAUAGUAGGCUAACAGGAAUGUCUCCCAGGUCCACUUGUUUUGUCGGCUAUAUUCAGCAUAUAUUAGUCUGCUUAAAUGAUGACUAAUAUACCGGUACACGUGUUAUACUAAUCUUCAAACGUUGUUAUUAUGGAUAUACUACUAGUAAAUGAGUAUAAUCAAAUUAUUAGGAGAAUAGACUGUAAGGUUAGCUUUUGUUAGUCUCAGGUGUGGCAAACAAUCUGUAAUGUAAACACAAUAUAUCAGUCAUUUAUCAGUAAUUUGUUUUAAUAGAAUGUUUCUUGUACCAGAAACCUAC